AUUAUUAAUUUUUUUGAAGUGGGGUAGAUUUACAAAUAGUGGGGAUGAAAAUAUCAUCACCAAAAUGAAAAACUUUCAAUGCUAAAUUUAUUGAAGUUCUGUUUCAAGUGUUAAUCGUAUUGAACACGAUUUGUUAGUCGGCCAUAAGUUUUAUGGCAUAGGUGGGUAGGGUUCGUUAUCAACUAAUUUGAUCGCAACGUCAAUGAUCCAAAUUCUAUGCUCUGUCUAAUUCAAUCUUACUGGAUUAAUUAUGAUGAAGGGGAUGCGUAGCCUAAGAAGAAUUGUGAGGAGAAACAACAAUAAAUAAUAAUGUAAGCAAAUUUGGUAAAAUAACUGAAAGUGAGUUAGUUGAACACUAAAUAAUAAUUAAAUUGAGAAAUUAUUAAUGUUGGCUCCCUAUAAUAUUUGACAACACAGGUAUAUGGUUGGCUGUUUAGGGUGCGUUUGGAAUUGAGGUGCUAUAACUUUUAAGCUAUAGCUGAUGUGGAAAAAAAACUGUAAUUAUAAAACAAAAGUUAGUAAUAUAUAAUAAAUGUAAAUUUUAAAUAAUAAUUUUUAUAAAAUUAUUAAAGAUAUAAUAGAUUUUUCAUUAUACAAGUGAAAAAUCAUAUCAACAUAAUUUCAAAGUUACAGCAGUAAGUGUUUACCAAACACUUUAGUGUUGUAGCUUUUAAGCUACAGUUGCCCAACCUCAAUUCCAAACCCACCCUUAGU
rnacentral:lncRNA from 1 species